AAGAAGGGAGGCAGAAGGGAGGAAGAAUAGUCAAUGAAAAAGACACUGAACCAGCCAAGUAGCGUGAAGGAUGACUGCCCUACGGGUUGUAAACUUCUUUUAUAAAGGAAUAAAGUGAGGCACGUGUGCCUUUUUGUAUGUACUUUAUGAAUAAGGAUCGGCUAACUCCGUGCCAGCAGCCGCGGUAAUACGGAGGAUCCGAGCGUUAUCCGGAUUUAUUGGGUUUAAAGGGAGCGUAGAUGGGUUGUUAAGUCAGUUGUGAAAGUUUGCGGCUCAACCGUAAAAUUGCAAUUGAUACUGGCAGUCUUGAGUACAGUUGAGGUAGGCGGAAUUCGUGGUGUAGCGGUGAAAUGCUUAGAUAUCACGAAGAACUCCGAUUGCGAAGGCAGCUUACUAAACUGCCACUGACAUUGAUGCUCGAAAGUGUGGGUAUCAAACAGGAUUAGAUACCCCGGUAGUA
rnacentral:rRNA from 1 species